UCUUGGCAGAAGAUCUCUGCUUACAGUGUUUGGGGGGAUCGUGCGGCAGCCCCGGUGCCUGGAGGCAGUGCUGAGUUCUGGGCAGUUCUGUCUCC
rnacentral:miRNA from 12 species